CUACGGGAGGCACCAGUGGGGAAUCUUAGACAAUGGGCGCAAGCCUGAUCUAGCCAUGCCGCGUGAGUGACGAAGGCCUUAGGGUCGUAAAGCUCUUUCGCUGGGGAAGAUAAUGACGGUACCCAGUAAAGAAACCCCGGCUAACUCCGUGCCAGCAGCCGCGGUAAUACGGAGGGGGUUAGCGUUGUUCGGAAUUACUGGGCGUAAAGCGCGCGUAGGCGGAUCAGAAAGUUGGGGGUGAAAUCCCGGGGCUCAACCCCGGAACUGCCUUCAAAACUCCUGGUCUUGAGUGCGAGAGAGGUGAGUGGAAUUCCGAGUGUAGAGGUGAAAUUCGUAGAUAUUCGGAGGAACACCAGUGGCGAAGGCGGCUCACUGGCUCGAUACUGACGCUGAGGUGCGAAAGCGUGGGGAGCAAACAGGAUUAGAUACCCUCGUAGUC
rnacentral:rRNA from 1 species